rnacentral:rRNA from 1 species
AUGGACAUUGUCAUAAUGGUCACCUUAUCACAGUGUAUUAUUUUUGGAUCUCAUAUUCCUCAAGGCGCUCCAUCCUCUGAUUCGAUGUCUGACGAUCUGAGAAAUAAGAGGAGGAAUAAUCCAGCAGAAGAAUUUGGUGAAGAAGAACAAGAAAAGAAUACCUUUAUCCUGAUAGGCAUGGAAACACCGGUUCACAUUGAGUGCAUCAUCGCUAAUCAGCCACUAUGUAUGGUCAGCGAAUAUGCUUGCUUAUUCCUGUAA